rnacentral:rRNA from 1 species
AGUUCGGAUUGUAGGCUGAAACUCGCCUACAUGAAGCUGGAGUUGCUAGUAAUCGCGAAUCAGCAUGUCGCGGUGAAUACGUUCCCGGGCCUUGUACACACCGCCCGUCACACCAUGAGAGUUGGCAAUACCCAAAGUUGGUGAUCUAACCUCGCAAGAGGAGGAAGCCACCUAAGGUAGGGUCAGCGAUUGGGGUGAAGUCGUAACAAGGUAGCCGUAGGAGAACCUGCGGCUGGAUCACCUCCUUU